rnacentral:tRNA from 1 species
GGGCACACAGCUCAGCGGCAGAGCACGUGCUUAACAUGCACGAGGUCCUGGGUUCUAUCUCCAGUACCUCCU